rnacentral:rRNA from 1 species
UACGUAGGCAGCGAGCGUUGUUCGGAGUUACUGGGCGUAAAGAGUGCGUAGGCGGUUUUCUAAGUUUGGUGUGAAAUCUCCCGGCUCAACUGGGAGGGUGCGCCGAAGACUGGAAGGCUUGAGUAUGGGAGAGGUAAGCGGAAUUCCUGGUGUAGCGGUGAAAUGCGUAGAUAUCAGGAGGAACACCGGUGGCGAAGGCGGGUCUCUGGGCCGAUAUUGACGCUGAGGAGCGAAAGCGUGGGGGAGCGAACAGG